UAAACUAGGAUUAGAUACCCUAUUAUUUUAGAUGUAAGAUUGAGAAUGCUAAAUUAGUAAUAGUUAUGUUCUUGAAAAUUAAAAAAUUUGGCGGUAUUUUAGUCUUUUCAGAGGAAUCUGUCCUGUAAUUGAUAUUCCACGAUUAAGUUAACUUUAUUUAUUAGUUUACAUAUCAUCGUAGUUUGAAUAUUUUAAUAGAAAUUUAAUAUUCGGAAUUUUAUAUUAAAAAAUAAAUCAGAUCAAGGUGUAGUUUAUAUUGAAGGAGAGAUGGAUUACAAUAAAUUUAUUUAAGGAUAAUUUUUUUUGAAAAUAAUUUGAAUUUGGAUUUGAUAGUAAUUGAAAAUAUAUUUUUGGAAUGAUUAUAGCUCUAAAAUAUGUACACAUCGCCCGUCGCUCUUAA
rnacentral:rRNA from 1 species